CCUGAGUAUAAGGUGACUCUGCACAGCCACGGGUCAUCUUGACACCAUUCUACCGCCAGGCUCCACUUGGUCCCCUUUAACGACCGUGCAGUAUGCGCGACGCGCGGGGGCGGACGCCGGGCCACAUUUUGUGCCAAUUAACACCAGAUGGGAAACGCAAGCUGCCAAAUAAUGAAGACGCUCUCAACGUUAAGUAACCUAACCCUAGGCGUGACAAAGGACAGGCGAAUGGUGCGAGGCCAAGCCCACGGCCCUAAAGAAGAUUAAUAAGGUUAAGAAAAACAAGCAAAAGGAAAGACACCUGAGUACUGUGGAACAGGAGGUCCAGACAGGGAGGAUAUCUCAAGGCCGGUGAGGAACGCAAAUAACAACUCGCCUUUGUGGUCCAGACACCUCUGAGCAGGGGAAAACCCAAACGAGGAGGAGAUGACCACCAACCAUCGACCAAUCACCACACAAUAUUUUGCAUGCUUGAAUAUUCAUAUUGUGUUUCUUUAAAACUGGGCAACCCGGAAGAAUGUGUCGUUUUUGAUGGUCACGAAGGCACACUCGUUUUUGUGUUAGGGACCCGGGACCCAGGCGCCUGUAUUAGCUUGCUUUGUCAGGAUUAAACAAUUGGUAAAUUCGGCCUAAUUGAUCUACUGGUCUUCUCUUUGACAGAACGAACUCGCAAAAUUGUUAGCUGCGACAGUGUGUGGAUUUGGACAUAACAAUUCUUGUGUUAAGUGUUGAUCGCAAUUUGGAGUCAGAUCAAUAACUAAAAUCCGUAGCCUAACAAUUUCUUGGUGACCCUGACGUGAUGUCAAGAGAAGGGAAAUUGACUAACUCGUGGUCUGUAUCCAAGUCACCGGACAGUUAGUCUGGGACAGCUGUCUCCCGGUCGGCGUACCCUUUGGGAAUAAGGAAUAAGCGCACAACGUUGAGCUGGUACGACGUCUCCCCAACCCUGAGCUCAUCAAUGAUAAGGUAAGCAGAAUACCUGUUACUAUACGUCGAAAUUCUGCAAAUUGAAAGAGGAAAUUUAAGAGGAGACUGUCCUUCAGAUCAAAUAAAGUGUGCAAGAAGUUAAGUUACAUACACGGUGAAUACGUUUGGAACUUACGUGUGUAUUAAGUUACAUAUACGGUGAAUAAGUUUGGAACCUACGUGUGUAACGUGUACGGUAAAGUCAGGGACUUACGCGUACUAAGGAUAGGUCAGGGACCUAGUGCUUCGUCGUGGCGGACAAGAGUGCGGUGACGACCGCAUUCAAAUAGCUGGGGUGCUUGUGAGAUCCCCGAACUCGCUCCCCCGUUCUGCGUAGCGUCCUGUACUUUUACUGUCUGAACUGUCUGAACGCACACUGGCUCUUAUUAUUUAUUAUUUGUUAUUACUCUUAUUUAUUGUUUGUGCCUUUUUGUUUAUGAUGUUUUUUACUUUUGCGCUAUGCUUGCUGGCUCCGUUAUUUAUUGUGUUAUCUGUUUAUUUAUUAUUUAUUCAUCACUCUUACUAUUGAUUAAGUAGGGGGUGUAACGAUUCAUCGAUACACAUCGAUUAAUCGAUAUAAUGCUCUACGAUUUAUUGGCAUCGAUGCUAAACGUAAACAUCGAUUUAUAUCGCCGUGUUUGACCUCGGACAUUAGACGCGACUUUAUUUUGAAAUCCAGUUCAUUGUUGCUCGCUUCCUCUUUCCGGGAGCAGUGCGCGCCGCGGCGUGUUGUGUUGUGAGCAGAGCAGGCACGUGAAAGGGGAGUCGCCAACUAGUACGCGGCUCCUGGGCUGGUGCUAUGGCUAGUGUCCAAAAAGACGAGGAAAUUGGCUCCCCUUUAGGCUUCAAGUCAUUCUUUGGAAGCACUUUGGAUUCCAAAGAAAAGAUGGCUCAACGGGCAAGACACGUGCAGUUUGUAAAUCCUGCCAUACGGUGAUCAAAUAUUCAGGGACCACAAAUCUCUAUAUUUAUAUUUAAAGAAAAAACACGACAUCAAAGUUCAGUGUUAAAAUAAGCACUUUGUAUACUACAAUACUCUUGUAAUUUCCUAAAUAGAGUUUGCAGUACCUUGUUGAUUUUGCGUAUGAAUUGUUAUAAAUCAGGAUAUUGUUCUAUAUUUUUUAUUAAAAAAAAAAAAAUCGAUUGUAGAGCACUAUAUCGUGAUAUAUCGUGAAUGAAUCGCAGCAGGCUUUAAGAUAUCUGCAAAUAUCGUAUCGUAGUUCUUUGUAUCGAUAUGAUAUCGUAUCGUGACAAAACCCGCGAUUUACACCCCUAGCGAUAAGACAUUUACUUUCAAGCACUAUCAUUUAGCGCUGCUGACAACAAUAACUUAUGAGAUGGUAAAUCAAGGAGGAGUGUCAUAGUUGGAACACAGGCGCUGUAUGACCUACAGAUUGAACAAUAACAUUCACCACAUAUGUUGGUAGAUUGUUAAAUUAUAUUACAGUUUAUUACAAAAGAUUUCGGAACUUUAUUUGAUGAUAAACACUGGAACGAGGAUUUUAGCUGUGUUAAUGGGUAGAGUGGAUGGAUUGCUCAGAAAGAAAAGAAAAAAGCAUUUUAUAAGGGCGGCUUGAUAUUAAGAUGAUGAGUGUGGGCAACUGAUAGGAUACAAAAUGUUAAUAGGAAGAUUUGGGGUGUAAGGAACAAAUACUACACAGGAAGACUGAUAACACGAGGAUAGUUUUGUUAGAUUUGUGUCCCAGUGUGUUCUUCCCUAGCGUGUGGCACGAUUCCUGAACUGAGUCCUCUUACUCCACUGGCUGUCUCAAAAUCAACAGGACUGACCCAGGUCAUGAGACACCUUUGACCUUUGGGAGAACAACAAGAACUGCUAUCAUGCUUGAACGGGGCAAGCACAGCUUUUCACAGGACAAGAACCAUACAGUUGGCGGGAAUAAACACAGUUGCAGAUCAAAAAGAAAAUGGACUGAAAGAACAAAGACAAGAUGGACGCAUCUGAGAGUGGCGGACGAUCCAGCCCUGAAUCAUCAUCAUGAGGAUCUAAGAGGAGAGGCUGCUAAAGACUUGCAGGAGUCACAUGAAGUCAAACUGGACACAUUGCUAAAGACUGCUGAAGCAUUACAAAGUUGGUGGAGUGUGGGACAAAAGGGAUGGAAGUGUGUCUGGGUGCUGGGGCGGACAUAUCUGAGGAGUUUUGAUAAAAGAGGGAAUAAUAAGGCUGCUUAUUGAGACUAAAACGGGGAUAAAAACAAAAUACAUAGAUAUGGACAGUGAAGAUGCACUAAUAAUAACAAAUCAUACAACAGAGUGAUCAGAAACUUUGCAAAGUGGAUAUUGAUCGAUAGAAAUUAGAUUUAUCAGAACGACAGAAUUUAAUUAUACAUCAAUUGCGACUGAUUUAUAGGAUGCAUAUUUUUGCUUGAAGUAGUGAGGGGCCAUAAGAAAGUUGGUAUUUUGGAUAGUCAGCAAAAUAGUAAUACAGGGCACUACUUAAUUAAAAAAGGAAACAGUAGGGCUUUAAAUAACAAAUACAGUGACAUGACACUUGUGACAAUUAGGGUUAGGAUUAACAAUCCAUCCAUCCAUCCAUUACUGGUGCGGCUUGUCCUUACGAGGGUCACGGAGGAUUAACAAUAAUAACUAGAAUUUGUAAUUUCUGGAGAAAUUGUGUGUGAAGGCGAAGAGGCUGAAUACAAAUUCGGGGAAUGCUACAAGAUUAUGUUUAAAUUUGGAACGUGAUGAAUUGGUCAGAAAAUCGAUGAAAUUAUAGAAAGAAUUUUGUAAAGUUGGGCGUGAAUUGUAAAAUUGAAAAUUUGAAAUUUUUCACAAGUGGGAAGUUCUGGAAUAGGUACGCAUAAGAUGGACAGUUAAAAAAUUUAAAUGGGUUGGUUCAGUGAAAAAAAAUGAGAAGGGAAAAAGGAAAUUUUGCAAAGUUUUACCGCAAUGUUGAAAGUGAAAAUGUGAAAUUUUAAUCUAGAAAGUGAAUCAGAUGAAUUCGUAGAAGUAGUUAAGCUAAAAAAUGAAUAAAUAAAUAAAAAAAGAGGCAGAAGAAUGCAGAAGAAGUUGAAUAAUGAUAAAGUCAAGGCAAGUCAAGUUUAUUUAUAUAGCCCACAAGCAAGUCUCAAAGGGCUUCAAAUGUACAAAAAUUGACAAUUUAAAGUACAGGAACAAUAAGUGUGAGGGCCACAAUGAUGAUCAUGACAGCAAAAAUAUUCCUAAUUGGUUUUGAUAGUGAGGUAAAUUUUGGAUUCUAUGCGUCACUGUAUGUCACCUUAAAUGGCGACCUUGCAGCAGUGAGAAGACCCUAAGCUAUUUUUGCGGUACAGAGAAGAUCUAGUUUCAGCAAUGUGUAGGUACUUAGAAUAUGGAAGGGCCAUUCGUCCGUGACCAGGAAGACCUUUGUCCAUGCCCUUUUAAGGGCAUCGGAAGUAACCAGUAGAGUGAGACUCGGACCGCAGCUGUUGUCUUACGAGGUACAAAUGAUGGGGGAGAACAGAUAGAGGGAGAGAGCGCGAAGAGCGAGGGGCGCGCAAGGCGCAAGGGGCAAGAGCAAGAAGCGCGAGGGCCUUUUUGGGGCGAACAUCUGUGCUGUCAAGAGCUGAAACAUCUUUGCUCUUGGGGCCACCCUAACUUUUGGAGAGACAUCACUUUGACAUCGGUUGAAUAAAUCUUUUCCCAAUCAGCCGUGUGUCACCGAAGUGCUUCCUUACCCGGACCAGCCAUCGUCCACUGAGUGUUUUUUUGGAGACCAGCAAAACAACAAAGACCAUUCACCACAAUAGGAAGAAAGGGGGAGCGUGGAAGGUUUCCAAAAUUUGUGAUACAGCGUGACUCCAUUAUCAAAAGUAAGCAUUUCUUUUUAAUUUUAAGAAUUGGCAUCAACAAAAAUGAGAACGAUAAUCUUCAAGGUGAUAGCGUAAGUGGCAGGAGGAAGCUGUGUAUAUUGUUUUUCAACAUUAUUUUUGGUAUCAUUAUUUUUAAGGAAGGUCAGUUAUGCUUGGAAGGAGAUGAAGGAACAAGGUAACAGUAAAAGGGAGUGCUCUGUAAAUUGUUGUUUCUUUGCCAGAGGUAGUUAUUUGGAGGGAUGAAUUUAAACUGAAAGCAAAAUGGAACUGUUUAGUGGAGGAAAUAUGGGAAGGUGGAAAUAUUGAAGUUACAGCUCAACACAAAGUGUCAAAUAGUCUAAGUGAGAGAUGUGAGCAAACUAAAUGGGGAGUUAAAUCAUGUUCCAGCAUUAUGCAUAUUGGCAAGCGAUAAGAGGACAGGAGACCAGACAAUUAGAUAAUAAUUUUGGAUUUAACAUUAAAAGGGAAAUUUUAAUUGAGGAGAAAAUUUUGCGUAGGAAGGGUUCCUUGUACAAUUUAAUAUUGUAUGGUUUUUUUGUGUGUGUUUUGGGAUGACAGUUUGUCUGUAAUGGUGUAUGAAUGUCAAGUCUGUGCUUGUGGUGUGGUGUUUGUGUAUUGUGAAUGGUUGACAUGAUUCAAAGUUGGGGUGAUGUGAUCACAGCAGAGGAUAACAUUCCUCUCACCUGAAAAAUAUAAAGAUACUACAGAUUUGAAAAAGCACGACUGAUCAGGACUAAUUUUGGACUAAAUAGGGGUUUAGGAUUACUCAGGGGCACCAUCGACAACAAAACAGUGCGAUGGAGAAGGCCCAUUUCAGUAAUAUAGUCAGACAAGACAGAACUAGUAUCGAACAUCGAGACUCUGGACGAUUUGACGUGUGACGACUUUGAGCUCACCCGACGGGGUGACGGACUAGGUGGACAGUGGCCAAAUGUUUGACGCUUGAGCUUGCUUGCGACAAGUGCACGCUAUGCUUUGUUUUUCUGUGUGACUUAAUUUUUUUUUGCAGCAACAGCCACCAGCCAAGGAGCGGAUUGCGCGCUGCUUGCGUAACUUGUUUUCGUUCUUGCAGGUUGUCGAUUGCGUUCGUGGAAAAUUUGUGUUGAAUUUACAAGAAUAUGUUAACCCUUGCCCUUUUGGUUUUUAUGACGAACUUGUUGAUGACAUGGUUUUCAGGACAUGAUCCGCCGGCGCCAGGAUUCAUUUUAUGACUGUUUUUAUUUUGUUACUUGAUGUCUGUUUUUGUGUGUACAAAUGUCCGCUGCCAGCAGGGCUAUAAACUCACUGACAGGAGUGCAAUGAUUUUGUUUGUGUUGCCGAGUGUGUGGUGGAGGAGCUAGAGGUUCCGCGGGCCUGACUACAAUGAGUGUGGUGAUGAGAGGGGACGCAUUUGCAGGUUCCUUUUGAUACAUAAUGACACAUUGGAUGAAUGUGUCAAAAGGGGGAGUGGUAAAAUAGAAAUGGGUGAGUAUGUUGUAAAAUAGAAAUGGGUGAGUAGGUUUCAAUUUGUAAUUGUGAUAUACAACGUUUUUUUUUUUUCCAAAUUCACUUGUUUUUAAGCUUUAACAGGACAUGCCAGAAUUCAACUAGCAGUGAAGGAAGGAGCAGAGGAAGACCAGUGACAUCUGGUUGUGGUGUGCUGACAACAAAUUAUAUGAUUGCUUGCCGAAGGAUGCAUCAGGUAUCUGUGCCCUCGUGUCUUUGAUAAUGCCUGUAGUGGUUGUCCCCAUUGAAAUGCAGAAUCUCAAUUGGAACUUGGAGUCCCCACUGGCGGGGCUCCUGAAGCGAGCCAAAAGAGACGUUUUGCCCCCAUGGUUGAGCGACAACGAUCCAAAAUAUGUAUAUUGACUAGGGGUGUAAAUCGCGGGUUUUGUCACGAUACGAUAUAAUAUCGAUAUAAAGAACUACGAUACGAUAUUUGCCGAUAUCUUAAAGCCUGCUGCGAUUCAUUCACGAUAUAUCGCGAUAUAGUGCUCUACGAUCGAUUUUUUUUUUUUUAAUAAAAAAUAUAGAACAAUAUCCUGAUUUAUAACAAUUCAUACGCAAAAUCAACAAGGUACUGCAAACUCUUUAUUUAGGAAAUUACAAGAGUAUUGUAGUAUACAAAUUGCUUACUUUAACACUGAACUUUGAUGUCGUGUUUUUUCUUUAAAUGUGCGGUGAGAUUUGUGCUCCCUGAAUAUUUGAUCACCGCAUGGCAGGAUUUACAAACUGCACCUGUCUUGUUCGUUGAGCCAUCUUUUCUUUGGAAUCCAAAGUGCUUCCAAACGAAUGACUUGAAGCCUAAAGGGGAGCCAAUUUCCUCGUCUUUUUGGACACUAGCCAUAGCACCAGCCCAGGAGCCGCGUACUAGUUGUCGACUCCCCUUUCACGUGCGUGCUCUGCUCACAACACAACAACGCCGGGCGCACUGCUCCCGGAAAGAGGAAGCAAGCAACAAUGAACUGGAUUUCAAAAUGAAGUCGCGUCUAAUGUCCGAGGUCAAACACGGCGAUAUAAAUCGAUGUUUACCUUUAGCAUCGAUGCCAAUAAAUCGUAGAGCAUUAUAUCGAUUAAUCGAUGUGUAUCGAUGUAUCGUUACACCCCUAAUAUUGACGCCAUAGGAGUGCCCCGGGGUGUGCCAGAUAAGUAUGAACUCGUUAAUCAAGUGUCCUCGGGAAUCGAAAGCAUUUUCCUAUGGAUCACCCCCAAUAAAAUGUAUCAUUUCCAUGAACAAUUGGCUGCGACGUCAUUGAUGUCGUUCCAAAAUAGAAUUGCGUUGGACAUGCUAUUGGCUAAGGAACAUGGUGUGUGCGGAAUGUUUGGUGAUGCAUGUUGUACUUUCAGCCCAACAACACGGCACCAGGGGGCCGACUGACCCAGGCGUUGGAAGAAGUAAGGACACUGAAUAAAAAGAUGAAAGAUCAUUCAGAUGUAUGCACCGAUAUUUGGUCUGAUUGGAUGAAAACGUUCGGAAGCUGGAAAGGCCUCAUCAUGUCUGUGCUCGUUGCUGUGGCUAUUUUUACUGCAGUGAUGAUUUUAUGUGGUUGUUGUUGUAUUCCAUGUAUUAGGUCACUCACUGUCCGGUUGAUCGAGAAAACCGUUGGCCCGUUGUCACCGAAUGGCCAAUAUACCCUGGUGACUCAACAUGAGCCACGGGGGGAGGAAAGGACCGACAGUGGGCUGGUCGCUGCUUGCUAGAGUAACUGGUGAUGAGAGGGAAUAAAGGGAAAUAUACUUUCGGCAGUUUGCAAACACAUUUGAUUAAGGCUGCGUUAGACACAUAUAAUCAUAUCAAUAUCAUUUCUAGUAGUAGUGUGGUCGCUUAAUAAGUGGAAAAGAAUGUGCAGACUACAUUAAUUGGUUUUCUUCAAAGUAUUGUGGAACAGGAUGUCCAGACAGGGAGGACAUCUCAAGGCCGAUGGGGAACGCGAAUAACAACUCGUCUAUGUGGUCCAGACACCUGUGCUGAGCAGGCGAAAACCCAAACGAGGAGGAGAUGACCAUCAACCAUCGACCAAUCACCACACAAUAUUUUGCAUGCUUGAAUAUUCAUAUUGUGUUUCUUUAAAACUGGGCAACCCGGAAGAAUGUGUUGUCUUUGAUGGUCACGAAGGCACACGAGUUUUUGUGUUAAGGACCCGAGACCCAGGCGCCUGUAUUAGCUUGCUUUGUCAGGAUUAAACAAUUGGUAAAUUCGG